ACGGAGGAUGCAAGCGUUAUCCGGAUUCAUUGGGUUUAAAGGGUGCGCAGGCGGAUUAAUAAGUCAGUGGUGAAAUCCUACGGCUCAACUGUAGAACUGCCAUUGAUACUGUUAGUCUUGAGUAUUGUUGAGGUAGGCGGAAUGUGUCAUGUAGCGGUGAAAUGCUUAUAUCUGACGCAGAACACCAGUGGCGAAGGCAGCUAACCGAGCAAUAACUGACGCUCAUUCACGAAAGCGUGGGGAUCGAACAG
rnacentral:rRNA from 1 species